rnacentral:rRNA from 1 species
GAGCCCAGAGCCUGAAUCAGCAUAUGUGUUAGUGGAAGCGUCUGGAAAGGCGCGCGAUACAGGGUGACAGCCCCGUACACAAAAGCGCAUAUGCUGUGAGCUCGAUGAGUAGGGCGGGACACGUGGUAUCCUGUCUGAAUAUGGGGGGACCAUCCUCCAAGGCUAAAUACUCCUGACUGACCGAUAGUGAACCAGUACCGUGAGGGAAAGGCGAAAAGAACCCCGGCGAGGGGAGUGAAAAAGAACCUGAAACCGUGUACGUACAAGCAGUGGGAGCCCCACCACUAAGCCAGUGGUGAACUCCACAUACGCAUCCUUUGCUGAGGAUACGGUUAACGGAGCGCAAGCGACGUUCAACCUCAAAAGAAGCAGAGGGGGCUUAGUGGUGGGGUGACUGCGUACCUUUUGUAUAAUGGGUCAGCGACUUAUAUUCUGUAGCAAGGUUAACCGUAUAGGGGAGCCGGAGGGAAACCGAGUCUUAACCGGGCGUUAAGUUGCAGGGUAUAGACCCGAAACCCGGUGAUCUAGCCAUGGGCAGGUUGAAGGUUGGGUAACACUAACUGGAGGACCGAACCGACUAAUGUUGAAAAAUUAGCGGAUGACCUGUGGCUGGGGGUGAAAGGCCAAUCAAACCGGGAGAUAGCUGGUUCUCCCCGAAAGCUAUUUAGGUAGCGCCUCGUGAAUUCAUCUCCGGGGGUAGAGCACUGUUUCGGCUAGGGGGCCAUCCCGGCUUACCAACCCGAUGCAAACUGCGAAUACCGGAGAAUGUUAUCACGGGAGACACACGGCGGGUGCUAACGUCCGUCGUGAAGAGGGAAACAACCCAGACCGCCAGCUAAGGUCCCAAAGUCAUGGUUAAGUGGGAAACGAUGUGGGAAGGCCCAGACAGCCAGGAUGUUGGCUUAGAAGCAGCCAUCAUUUAAAGAAAGCGUAAUAGCUCACUGGUCGAGUCGGCCUGCGCGGAAGAUGUAACGGGGCUAAACCAUGCACCGAAGCUGCGGCAGCGACACUCAGGUGUUGUUGGGUAGGGGAGCGUUCUGUAAGCCUGCGAAGGUGGCCUGUGAGGGUUGCUGGAGGUAUCAGAAGUGCGAAUGCUGACAUAAGUAACGAUAAAGCGGGUGAAAAGCCCGCUCGCCGGAAGACCAAGGGUUCCUGUCCAACGUUAAUCGGGGCAGGGUGAGUCGACCCCUAAGGCGAGGCCGAAAGGCGUAGUCGAUGGGAAACGGGUUAAUAUUCCCGUACUUGGUGUUACUGCGAAGGGGGGACGGAGAAGGCUAUGUUGGCCGGGCGACGGUUGUCCCGGUUUAAGCGUGUAGGUGUGUGUUCCAGGUAAAUCCGGUU